UACGUAGGGUGCAAGCGUUGUCCGGAAUUAUUGGGCGUAAAGAGCUCGUAGGCGGUCUGUCGCGUCGGCUGUGAAAACCCGGGGCUCAACCCCGGGCCUGCAGUCGAUACGGGCAGACUAGAGUGCGGUAGGGGAGAUUGGAAUUCCUGGUGUAGCGGUGGAAUGCGCAGAUAUCAGGAGGAACACCAAUGGCGAAGGCAGAGCUCUGGGCCGUAACUGACGCUGAGGAGCGAAAGCAUGGGGAGCGAACAGG
rnacentral:rRNA from 1 species